rnacentral:rRNA from 1 species
UACGUAGGGUGCAAGCGUUGUCCGGAAUUAUUGGGCGUAAAGAGCUCGUAGGCGGUUUGUUGCGUCGGCUGUGAAAUCCCCGAGGCUCAACCUCGGGUCUGCAGUCGAUACGAGCAAACUAGAGUGUUGCAGGGGAGACUGGAAUUCCUGGUGUAGCGGUGAAAUGCGCAGAUAUCAGGAGGAACACCCGGUGGCGAAAGGCGGGGUCUCUGGGCAACAACUGACGCUGGAGGAGCGAAAGCGUGGGGAGCGAACAGG